GUGAAGAAGGCCUUCGGUUGUAAGCACUUUCAGUUGUGAGGAAAGUUAGUAGUUAAUACCUGCUAGCCGUGACGUUAACAACAGAAGAAGCACCGGCUAACUCCGUGCCAGCAGCCGCGGUAAUACGGAGGGUGCGAGCGUUAAUCGGAAUUACUGGGCGUAAAGCGCACGCAGGCGGUUUGUUAAGCUAGAUGUGAAAGCCCCGGGCUCAACCUGGGAUAGUCAUUUAGAACUGGCAGACUAGAGUCUUGGAGAGGGGAGUGGAAUUCCAGGUGUAGCGGUGAAAUGCGUAGAUAUCUGGAGGAACAUCAGUGGCGAAGGCGACUCCCUGGCCAAAGACUGACGCUCAUGUGCGAAAAGUGUGGGUAGCGAACAGGAUUAGAUACCCUGGUAGUCCACACCGUAAACGCUGUCUACUAGCUGUUUGUGACUUUAAGUCGUGAGUAGCGAAGCUAACGCGCUAAGUAGACCGCCUGGGGGAGUACGGCCGCAAGGUUAAAACUCAAAAUGAAUUGACGGGGGCCCGCACAAGCGGUGGAGCAUGUA
rnacentral:rRNA from 1 species